AGGCUGAAACAACAGGCUUUGAUCACUUCAAAAUCAAGAUGAACAUAGAAAAGGAGCGAUUUUCAUUUGUUCUGGUUGAUAUAGAACCUGAACCAACAAUGAAAAGAUGGAUAGUGGGGGAAGAAUGAAAGAUUUUGCAACUUACUUUCAGAUGGUAAAAGAAUUCAGCAUUAUGUGAGGGAGAAUGCUCGGCAUGACCCAGUUCUCAUCCUCCCCUGCAUAACUUUCUCUCCUGAAAGCACCGAUUGAUUUCAAAGAGAACGCUGCAGAGAUCGUCUGCCAUGUGAAGAGAAUUACAAUUGGACCCAAAGGUUUGACCUCCAGCCUGCUUCUGUGUAAGAAUCAAUCAGUAACCAAUUUAGGUGAACUGGAUUUUCCAUCUUGUGGGCCCUGGUUCCUGGUUUCUUUUGCAACCAGAGUCUUGAAUCUGAGCAACUGUUCACUCUGGCCUCUGACCAGGAUCAGCAGAACUUAAGUCUACUCCAGCAGAAUGAGUGACCUAGGGACUUCUACGAAAAAAGGAUGUCAUAAAAAACUUUGUGAAAAAUGAAAUUUCUCUGCUUCUACUCUUAAAGUCUGUUCAUUUUGGAAACUAGGAAUUUUCUAGUAAAAAGAAAUUAAUGAAUAAAAUCAGCAAUUUCUAAUCUAUAUUUGUA
ensembl:lncRNA